CACGUAGGGCGCAAGCGUUGUCCGGAAUUAUUGGGCGUAAAGAGCUCGUAGGCGGUCUGUUGCGUCCGCUGUGAAAACUCGGGGCUUAACCCCGAGCCUGCAGUGGAUACGGGCAGACUAGAGGUAGGUAGGGGAGAAUGGAAUUCCCGGUGUAGCGGUGAAAUGCGCAGAUAUCGGGAGGAACACCAGUGGCGAAGGCGGUUGCCUGGAGCUUUGCUGACGCUGAGGCGCGAAAGCGUGGGGAGCGAGUCCGG
rnacentral:rRNA from 1 species